AUUCAAUCCAGUCUAGGGGCGCACAGGCGCUCAGCAACUCAGGGCUGACCAUUGCCGCUUUCAACGGAAAUACGGGAAAGAUGUCAGUGCUACUCCGAAACACAGAAAUUCACAACUCAAGUUUUCCGCUCACAUUCAUCCCUUCCAGAACCGUUACAGAAAACUGCAUGGAAUUCUUUAGAAAACCACAGAAUGGCUUUCCGGAGCUACCGAAGUCAACCUGUCGCCUGCGGCCCGCCAACCUCCGCAGGCUUCUGACGCACCCGGAUCCUGGCCGGUCACUCACCUGCAGCUGCAGCGCUGUCCACUUCGCAGUCCGGUUGCUCCUUCUCCCCUUCGCUGAGGGCACCGUCCUCGGAGGGCGGCGGCCCUUCUUCCUGGUGGCAGGCAGUGGAGGGCUUGGUGCCCUUACGCCGCAUGGUGGCUUGUCGGCAGGUCCACUCCGAGCAGGGCUGAAACCGUGGGACUGCCGACCCCCGCCUCGCUCCUACCGGUGUUUCGGCUCCGGGCCCUUCACUCGAAAA
rnacentral:lncRNA from 1 species